rnacentral:lncRNA from 1 species
AUGCGGUUAUGCGGGCGUUCACCUCUACUCUAAAUUUAGACAUUUGGGUACCCAUUUGCUUCCAAGAUCUAAGAUUGCCUCAUUUUGCUCAGCCAUACCCAUCAAUGACUCCUCAGAUGCACCUUCCUCUAAUUUUCUCUUCUUCCUUUGCCCCUCAGAUCGAGACAAAGAAGAUCUAUCAAUGGCCUCUUCUGCCUCAAUCCUAGUGAAAUCUAAGGGGAUGUGGAUUCCACUUUUCUUGAAUAACUC